rnacentral:rRNA from 1 species
AUUGAACGCUGGCGGCAGGCCUAACACAUGCAAGUCGAGCGGAUGAGUGGAGCUUGCUCCAUGAUUCAGCGGCGGACGGGUGAGUAAUGCCUAGGAAUCUGCCUGGUAGUGGGGGACAACGUUUCGAAAGGAACGCUAAUACCGCAUACGUACUACGGGAGAAAGCAGGGGACCUUCGGGACUUGCGCUAUCAGAUGAGCCUAGGUCGGAUUAGCUAGUAGGUGAGGUAAAGGCUCACCUAGGCGACGAUCCGUAACUGGUCUGAGAGGAUGAUCAGUCAAACUGGAACUGAGACACGGUCCAGACUCCUACGGGAGGCAGCAGUGGGGAAUAUUGGACAAUGGGCGAAAGCCUGAUCCAGCCAUGCCGCGUGUGUGAAGAAGGUCUUCGGAUUGUAAAGCACUUUAAGUUGGGAGGAAGGGCAGUAAGUUAAUACCUUGCUGUUUUGACGUUACCAACAGAAUAAGCACCGGCUAACUUCGUGCCAGCCGCCGCCGUAAUAC